UAGGAUAUUAAUUAAUUGGGUAGUAACGAAAUAUCUGAAACCCAAAGGAUUUGGCGGUGUCUCAUACAAUUGGGGGAAUCUGUCACAUAAACUGAUAGUCCACAUCAUAUCUUACCUCACUUUCUACUUGCACAUCGCCAUUUUAAGAGCAUGCUCAAAGGGAUACUCUAACUCGAUUUCAUCCCAAAAAUUAGGUCGUCAUACAGUAAUAGUGAGGUCGUGAUGGAUUACAAUAUCAAUUAGAUACAACGAAUGGUCUAAAGAAAUUAGUCCUGAAGGUGGAUUCAAAAGUAAUAUAGGAGUAAAGUGCUUAUAUGGAUAGUCACCUGAGACAUGU
rnacentral:rRNA from 1 species